AUUGAACGCUGGCGGCAGGCUUAACACAUGCAAGUCGAACGAGUGGCGGACGGGUGAGUAAUGCUUGGGAAUCUAGCUUAUGGAGGGGGAUAUCUACGGGAAACUGUCGCUUAUACCGCGUUACAUAGGCUGCGCACAAGUGGGAUUAGGUAGUUUGGGAGGUAAAGGCUCACCAAGCCCAAUAUCUCUAGCUGGUCUGAGAGGAUGACCAGCAACACUGGGACUGAGACACGGCACAGACUCCUACGGUAGGCAGCAGUGGGGAAUAUUGAGCAAUGGGGGCAACCUGACGCAGCCAUGCCGCGUGAAUGAAGAAGGCCUUAGGGUUGUAAAGUUCUUUCGGUAGCGAGGCGUUAACUACAGAAGAAGCACCGGCUAACUCCGUGCCAGCAGCCGCGGUAAUAC
rnacentral:rRNA from 1 species